rnacentral:lncRNA from 10 species
GGUGCCUGCGCGCGAGGCGAGCGCAGGGCGGAGGGUGGGGCGCUCCGGGAGACAGCCGGGAGGAGGGAGGGGAGGCGCGAGCGCCGAGGAGCCCGAGCGUCCGGCGCCCGGCGGGCUCCAGGCUGGGGUUAAAUAUCCCGGGGGCGGCGCCGCGCCUCCCUACCCGCGCCCUGCGUCGGAGCCCUUGGACUUGCCUCGCGCGGCGAGGUUGUGCUGGUCUGCAAGGCCGAGCCCCUUCCCUAGGGCUCCUACACUCACAAAGCCUCAAGCUGGGUUCUCUGCUUGUAAAGUCUGCCCAGAGAAUGCAAAUUAUUGGCCAGAGCAAAAGAAAAUCAAGAAGAAAAAGUCUGCUAAAAAGCGCCACUUACUGAACAUUUCCCUUUGUGUCCUCAUCUAAUCUGUACAAUGACCCAGUGAAGAAUUUAGAUGGGAAAAGUCUCAGAGACAGCAGAUGAUGUCCCUGUGGUCUCAGGUCGUCCAGUAGGUGGGUGAACUGGGACUUGAAAUCAGGUCUGAUGUCCAGAUCUGCUCCUGACUGCUAUGGUACAGUGUCAUAAAAAACAAAGGAUGGCCAAGCUCAUGGACUCUAGUGAUACAAGUUGGAUGGAUAUUGAUGAAAUGGUCAAAAGAGCCCCACAGUGGAUGUGUUAUCUUGGGCAAAUGGCUAAACCUCUCUCGGUUUCCUCAAGUGUUGGUGUCUCCUUCAUAGGGUGUUUGUAAAUAAAUGAAAUAAUGAGUAUGAAAGCUAUUACCCAAUGCCUGGCACACAGUGAAUGUUUGAUAACUGGAAAGAACACUAAUUUUUAGAUUGAAUGGAUCCCAUUUAGAAAAACAAAAUAUUUUAGAGUUGCAUUUUUUAAUGAAAAGAAAA